UGGUGUUUGGAUCGUCCCUGCCGGCUGGCUCCGUGCCCGUCCACCGAACGGUCGGCAGGCGAUCCGCGUCGGUCGCGCGGGGUGGUAUGGUUCCCCUGAGGCCGGUUCUUGUGUCGCCUACCCUUCAAGGGGAAGCAGGCCUCCUGACGGUUGAAAGCCUCCAUCCGGCGCCCUCCGACGGGCGCAGGAGGACAACGUAGCACCCCCCGCGUCCCACCGAACCCUCGCCGGUCGCGUGGCGCGCGGGGACGUGCGACGCUCUCGGACCCGGCGCACGCCGUGGGCGGGGACUCACGUCCCGGUCCCAAAGAGAAAGCCUCGAUGCAACGCAUGACGGCCGCUCCCGCCCCCCGACCGCCCCGGCGGCGAGGGGGCGCGGCGCGGCGUCGCGGAGGAAUGCUACCUGGUUGAUCCUGCC
rnacentral:misc_RNA from 1 species